rnacentral:rRNA from 1 species
UACGAAGGGUGCUAGCGUUGUUCGGAAUUACUGGGCGUAAAGCGCGCGUAGGCGGCGUUUCAAGUCAGGGGUGAAAUCCUUGGGCUCAACCCAAGAAUUGCCUUUGAAACUGUAACGCUUGAGUGUCGGAGGGGAUAGCGGAAUUGCUAAUGUAGAGGUGAAAUUCGUAGAUAUUAGCAGGAACACCGGUGGCGAAGGCGGCUAUCUGGACGACAACUGACGCUUAGGCGCGAAAGCGCGGGGAUCAAACAGG